UACAGAGGUCUCAAGCGUUGUUCGGAUUCAUUGGGCGUAAAGGGUGCGUAGGUGGCGGGGUAAGUCAGGUGUGAAAUUUCGGAGCUUAACUCCGAAACUGCAUUUGAUACUGCCUUGCUUGAGGACUGGAGAGGAGACUGGAAUUCACGGUGUAGCAGUGAAAUGCGUAGAUAUCGUGAGGAAGACCAGUGGCGAAGGCGGGUCUCGUGGACAGUUCCUGACACUGAGGCACGAAGGCCAGGGGAGCAAACGGG
rnacentral:rRNA from 1 species